AGGAUGCGAGCGUUAUCCGGAUUUAUUGGGUUUAAAGGGAGCGUAGGUGGCAGGGCAAGUCAGAUGUGAAAACCCGGGGCUCAACCCCGGGAGUGCAUUUGAAACUGUCCGGCUGGAGUGCAGGAGAGGUAAGCGGAAUUCCUAGUGUAGCGGUGAAAUGCAUAGAUAUUAGGAGGAACACCAGUGGCGAAGGCGGCUUACUGGACUGUAACUGACACUGAGGCUCGAAAGCGUGGGGAGCAA
rnacentral:rRNA from 1 species